AAAUUGAAGAGUUUGAUCAUGGCUCAGAUUGAACGCUGGCGGCAGGCCUAACACAUGCAAGUCGAACGGUAACAGGAAGCAGCUUGCUGCUUAGCUGACGAGUGGCGGACGGGUGAGUAAUGUCUGGGAAACUGCCUGAUGGAGGGGGAUAACUACUGGAAACGGUAGCUAAUACCGCAUAACGUCGCAAGACCAAAGAGGGGGACCUUCGGGCCUCUUGCCAUCGGAUGUGCCCAGAUGGGAUUAGCUAGUAGGUGGGGUAA
rnacentral:rRNA from 1 species